rnacentral:rRNA from 1 species
UUAAAUUGAAGAGUUUGAUCAUGGCUCAGAUUGAACGCUGGCGGCAGGCCUAACACAUGCAAGUCGAACGGUAACAGGAAGCAGCUUGCUGCUUCGCUGACGAGUGGCGGACGGGUGAGUAAUGUCUGGGAAACUGCCUGAUGGAGGGGGAUAACUACUGGAAACGGUAGCUAAUACCGCAUAACGUCGCAAGACCAAAGAGGGGGACCUUCGGGCCUCUUGCCAUCGGAUGUGCCCAGAUGGGAUUAGCUUGUUGGUGGGGUAACGGCUCACCAAGGCGACGAUCCCUAGCUGGUCUGAGAGGAUG